rnacentral:rRNA from 1 species
AGCGUAGGCGGAUUUUUAAGUGGGAUGUGAAAUACCAGGGCUUAACCUGGGUGCUGCAUUCCAAACUGGAAGUCUAGAGUGCAGGAGAGGAAAGUGGAAUUCCUAGUGUAGCGGUGAAAUGCGUAGAGAUUAGGAAGAACACCAGUGGCGAAGGCGACUUUCUGGACUGUAACUGACGCUGAGGCUCGAAAGCGUGGGGAGCGAACA